UCAGGACGAACGCUGGCGGCGUGCUUAACACAUGCAAGUCGAACGAUGAAGCCCUUCGGGGUGGAUUAGUGGCGAACGGGUGAGUAACACGUGGGCAAUCUGCCCUUCACUCUGGGACAAGCCCUGGAAACGGGGUCUAAUACCGGAUAACACUCUGUCCCGCAUGGGACGGGGUUAAAAGCUCCGGCGGUGAAGGAUGAGCCCGCGGCCUAUCAGCUUGUUGGUGGGGUAAUGGCCUACCAAGGCGACGACGGGUAGCCGGCCUGAGAGGGCGACCGGCCACACUGGGACUGAGACACGGCCCAGACUCCUACGGGAGGCAGCAGUGGGGAAUAUUGCACAAUGGGCGAAAGCCUGAUGCAGCGACGCCGCGUGAGGGAUGACGGCCUUCGGGUUGUAAACCUCUUUCAGCAGGGAAGAAGCGAAAGUGACGGUACCUGCAGAAGAAGCGCCGGCUAACUACGUGCCAGCAGCCGCGGUAAUACGUAGGGCGCAAGCGUUGUCCGGAAUUAUUGGGCGUAAAGAGCUCGUAGGCGGCUUGUCACGUCGGAUGUGAAAGCCCGGGGCUUAACCCCGGGUCUGCAUUCGAUACGGGCUAGCUAGAGUGUGGUAGGGGAGAUCGGAAUUCCUGGUGUAGCGGUGAAAUGCGCAGAUAUCAGGAGGAACACCGGUGGCGAAGGCGGAUCUCUGGGCCAUACUGAC
rnacentral:rRNA from 1 species